CCUACGUGCGGCAGCAGUGGGGAAUAUUGGACAAUGGGCGAAAGCCUGAUCCAGCCAUGCCGCGUGUGUGAAGAAGGCCUUCGGGUUGUAAAGCACUUUCAGUGGGGAAGAAAGCCUUGGGGCUAAUACCCUCGAGGAAGGACAUCACCCACAGAAGAAGCACCGGCUAACUCCGUGCCAGCAGCCGCGGUAAUACGGAGGGUGCGAGCGUUAAUCGGAAUUACUGGGCGUAAAGCGCGCGUAGGCGGUCUGAUAAGCCGGUUGUGAAAGCCCCGGGCUCAACCUGGGAACGGCAUCCGGAACGGUCAGGCUAGAGUGCAGGAGAGGAAGGUAGAAUUCCCGGUGUAGCGGUGAAAUGCGUAGAGAUCGGGAGGAAUACCAGUGGCGAAGGCGGCCUUCUGGACUGACACUGACGCUGAGGUGCGAAAGCGUGGGUAGCAAACAGGAUUAGAUACCCCUGUAGUC
rnacentral:rRNA from 1 species